CGACUCGCUUACAUCUGUAGCUCUUCUAAUGUACUCUCAUUGAGGAAGACAUGGAUGACUGUUGAGACUUAUUCCUGGCACAUUUGUCUUUUUUUGAAGGUGAUGUACAGCAAUACGGGAAGCAGGAAUUAUGAGAACAGCUGUAUUUGACUGGAGACAUUGGACAAGGCUGAAUUUGGACACCAGUUUGAGAUGACCUUCACAUCAAUCACAAACCUCAGAAAGACAAAGAGAUGGUGCUGGCACACUGCCUUCAGAAACACUCUACUCAGGGCAUGACAAUUUGGAUUUGGUGCCCAGGCUUAAAUGUAUAUAGGGAUGGAGACCAUGUAUAAAAAACUUGACUGAACAUGCAUUGACUGAACAUAUGGAAGUUAUUAUUUCAUAAUUUUGAAAAUGAUGCCGUUGGACUGACUGCUGUACAACCACAGGGAACUGUUUAAAGCACUGAAGAAUUAACCCUCCACGUUAAAAGAGAAACUUUCAUCGAAGCAAGACGAUGUUCAUUGUGACAAAACCAAGGGCAAUGUAGCAACUGUAGAUAGCAAAUCCUUAUCAUGGAGGCUGCUAAAACCUCAGGUGAUGCGGAAUGUUCCAAACAGAUUAUUGGUUUCAAAGAUGACGAAAAACACUUGCCAUCCGAGAUGACCCAAAGAGGCCAAUCCUCUGGCACAGAGGACAAAAUAAAACUUGCGGAGCAACCCCAGACCCCAGCUGUACGUCCAUCUCCUGGUAUGGAGUCACAGGUCCUUGCUUCAGGAAAUAUUCUUACCUCAAAAUCUAGAGAACAGUGUCACAUCCAGCUCAGGAGGAAGAACGUUUCUCUCCCAAACAAACGAUAUCUUCAA